rnacentral:lncRNA from 1 species
GAUAUGAGUAUUUGGAUGAAGUGACUCGAUUGAUUAUAUGAAGUUGGGUGUCAGAAACACCAUUUCAAAUGAGAAAUGAAAAGCGACCUUGGAAGUUUUUAGCUGAUGGAACACAGAGAGGAAGAAUGUUGAGGAACAUAUCAGAGUCCGUUGGGGAGUCUUGCCUAACUCACCUUUCCAGAAAGGACGAAGAAGGUCAUUAUUUUGACAGAAGAGAUAGAGGCAGUUACGCUUUUUGUGUCGAGGAGACAAGCAAUGCCACAUCUCCUGGAGUGUCAGUGAGCUCUUCAGCCUGCAGGACUCCAUCUGGAGGGCUGGAGGUCUCAAUGCAGCGAGGACAGCCAUGGCAUUAUCAUCCCAUACACUCUGCAUCCCUCCAGUUGAGAACCAAAAGGAUGGCUAAUUACAGAAUGGCAAGGGUCAUUGGGAAUCAAGAGAAUACUUCCUACCUCAGCCCUCACUUGAGAGUGAAUCUGCAUGAAACCGGCUCUUGCCCACAGCUGCAAGUGCUUCUGAAUCGGAACUCUUCACUUCCUUGCCUCUCCUCAGCAGAGGCAGACGCAGCCCCUGCCACCCACGAGGAGGAUGCCGUCAGCAGGGGGCCCUUUGCUUGGAGUGACCCACACAGCCUGAGAGCCGGAGGACGCAGAGGCAGCCCACCCAUGUCCUCGCCACUCAUAGACACUUGUUAA